ensembl:lncRNA
AGCUAGCGCUGCGAGCAGUCGGCUCGCUUGCUCAGGACACCCUAUUGGCGCUGAGCGCCGAAGGAUUGAUGCUUUUGAACUGUGGUGCUGGAGAAGACUCUUGAGAGUCCCUUGGACUGCAAGGAGAUCCAACCAGUCCAUCCUAAAGGAAAUCAGUCCUGAGUAUUCACUGGAAGGACUGACGCUGAAGCUGAAACUCCAAUACUUUGGCCAGCUGAUGUGAAGAACUGACUCAUUUGAAAAGACUCUGAUGCUGGGAAAGAUUGAAGGCAGGAGGGGAAGGGGACGACAGAGAAUGAAAUGGUUGGAUGGCAUCACCGACUCAAUGGACGUGACUUUGAGUAAACUCCGGAGUUGGUGAUGGACAGGGAGGCCUGGUGUGCUGCAGUCCAUGGAGUCGCAAAGAGUCCGCCGACACGACUAAGCGACUGAACUGAUUGGUUUCUAAAAAAGAAAUUUUAGAUUUUCAGAAGUUUGGAUUUUUCCAUUAAAGAGGAAACAUCUUGACCAGGCCUACUUGUGAAUAGCUGUCGGAAGGAAGAAAUUAACACAGCCCAAAUGACUACCCACUGCAGUAUUCUUGCGUGGAGAACUCCACGGACAGAGGAGCCUGGCAGGCUACAGUCUACGGGGUUGCAAAGAGUCGGACACAAAUGAGCAACUAACAUACGCACACACAUAGGAG